rnacentral:misc_RNA from 1 species
GAUGAAGAACGUAGCGAAAUGCGAUAAGUAAUGUGAAUUGCAGGAUUCAGUGAAUCAUCGAAUCUUUGAACGCACCUUGCGCCCUUUGGCCAUUCCGAAGGGCAUGCCUGUUUGAGUAUCAUGAACACCUCAACUCUUUAUGGUUUUCCAUGAUGAGCUUGGACUCUGGGGGUUUUGCUGGCUCACAGUCGGCUCCUCUAAAAUGAAUCAGCUUACCAGUGUUUGGUGGGUAUCAUGGGUGUGAUAACUAUCUACGCUUGUGGUUUUUCCACCAGGUAACCUUCAGCAGUGGAGGUUCGCUGGAGCUCAUAGAUGUCUCUCCUCAGUGAGGACAGCCCUUUGAAUGUUUGAUCUCAAAUCAGGUAGGACUACCCGCUGAACUUAAGCAUAUCAAUAAGCGGAGGA